rnacentral:rRNA from 1 species
GAUGAACGCUGGCGGCGUGCCUAAUACAUGCAAGUCGAGCGAACAGACGAGGAGCUUGCUCCUCUGACGUUAGCGGCGGACGGGCGAGUAACACGUGGAUAACCUACCUAUAAUACUGGGAUAACUUCGGGAAACCGGAGCUAAUACCGGAUAAUAUAUUGAACCGCAUGGUUCAAUAGUGAAAGACGGUUUUGCUGUCACUUAUAGAUGGAUCCGCGUCGCAUUAGCUAGUUGGUAAGGUAACGGCUUACCAAGGCAACGAUGCGUAGCCGACCUGAGAGGGUGAUCGGCCACACUGGAACUGAGACACGGUCCAGACUCCUACGGGAGGCAGCAGUAGGGAAUCUUGCACAAUGGGCGAAAGCCUGACGGAGCAACGCCGCGUGAGUGAUGAAGGUCUUCGGAUCGUAAAGCUCUGUUAUUAGGGAAGAACAACUGUGUAAGUAAAUAUGCACGUCUUGACGGUACCUAAUCAGAAAGCCACGGCUAACUACGUG